UACGUAGGUGGCAAGCGUUGUCCGGAUUUAUUGGGUUUAAAGGGUGCGUAGGCGGUCUUGUAAGUCAGUUGUGAAAUACGGCAGCUUAACUGUCGAGGUGCAAUUGAUACUGCAAGACUUGAGUACUGAUGAGGUAGGCGGAAUGGACGGUGUAGCGGUGAAAUGCUUAGAGAUCGUCCAGAACACCGAUAGCGAAGGCAGCUUACUAAGGAGUAACUGACGCUGAUGCACGAAAGCGUGGGGAUCAAACAGG
rnacentral:rRNA from 1 species